rnacentral:rRNA from 1 species
GAUGAACGCUAGCGGCAGGCCUAAUACAUGCAAGUCGGACGGGAUUCAGGAGCUUGCUUCUGAUGAGAGUGGCGCACGGGUGCGUAACACGUAUGUAACCUACCUUUAUCAGGGGGAUAGCCUCUCGAAAGAGAGAUUAAGCCCGCAUAAAAUCACAGCACAGCAUUGUGUAAUGAUCAAAUAUUUAUAGGAUAAAGAUGGGUAUGCGGAACAUUAGCUAGAUGGCGGGGUAACGGCCCACCAUGGCGACGAUGUUUAGGGGAGCUGAGAGGACGGCCCCCCACACUGGUACUGAGACACGGACCAGACUCCUACGGGAGGCAGCAGUAAGGAAUAUUGGUCAAUGGGCGGAAGCCUGAACCAGCCAUGCCGCGUGCAGGAAGACGGCCCUACGGGUUGUAAACUGCUUUUAUACGGGAAUAAACCCAGAUACGUGUAUCUGGCUGAAUGUACUGUAAGAAUAAGGAUCGGCUAACUCCGUG